rnacentral:rRNA from 1 species
AGAACGAACGCUGGCGGCAUGCCUAACACAUGCAAGUCGAGCGGGGUUUUCGGACCUAGCGGCGGACGGGUGAGUAAUGGCGUAGGAAGCUACCCGAUAGAGGGGGAUACCAGUUGGAAACGACUGUUAAUACCGCAUAAUGUCUACGGACCAAAGUGUGGGACCUUCGGGCCACAUGCUAUCGGAUGCGCCUACGUGGGAUUAGCUAGUUGGUGAGGUAAAGGCUCACCAAGCCGACGAUCUGUAGCUGGUCUGAGAGGACGACCAGCCACACUGGGACUGAGACACGGCCCAGACUCCUACGGGAGGCAGCAGUGGGGAAUUUUGGACAAUGGGCGCAAGCCUGAUCCAGCAAUGCCGCGUGCAGGAUGAAGGCCUUCGGGUUGUAAACUGCUUUUGUACGGAACGAAACGGUGAGCUCUAAUACAGUUUGCUAAUGACGGUACCGUAAGAAUAAGCACCGGCUAACUACGUG